AGCUUAGUUGAGGAAAAGGGUGGGGGUGGGUGCCUUCACUUUAAUUUCUUCUGGUCCAGCUGACAGGAUCAGCAGAAAACUAAUUGUGGUUUCCUGUUUCAGCUAGCUGGAGUUUUUAAUCAAGACAGCAGUUAAUGGUAUUUUGGAAGUUUACAAAAUAUAACUGCUGAGGCUCCAGCCUUGUGAACUGAGACUAGUGGGUCAUUGUCCUCUCUGGGAUGAGAAAGCUACUGUGGGACCACUUCGAACUGCUGAGGAACCAUCCUCAAGGACAAAACAACUAUGGGACACUUAGCCUCUUAAGGUGUGAUUUAAUGAGCUGCUUGAAACUGUCAGAAGGAUCUCAGUACUUCUAAGACACAAUGAGGUAACUCAGGAAAGCACCCUCAAGACUGGCGGAGGCCCACAGGCUCACCCACUCACAGGAAGAGCAACUGGCAUUCAUCAGUGAAGUAUUCCCAGCUCUGAACGGCCUACUUUCUGAAUCCUCCUGGUAACUGGAGACAGGUCAGGGCUGGGGGCAGCAGGACGAAGAUGAGGAGCUGUUUUUAAUUACUGCCACAAAUGCUUGGGAAAAAGAUAAACCUUAAGCCACCAAAGACCAUUAUUUCCUUAAAGUGUUUUCAUAAUAAAUGUGACUGAUCUUCAGAACAAUACAUGGGCAUGGAUGUGCUAAAAUGGCCAGGAAGACGGAUCUUUGGGACAAUGCUUGAGUACUAUAUAGUCAAGUCCCAGGAGGACUGACAUGUUUCCAAUUUCCUGCUACAACACACACAUAUGUACGUGCGCGCGUGCAAAAAACACCCACCUAAACACCUAAACACCCACCUAAAUAGCAAACACCCCAGGAUCAAAAAGGAAAACCAAAACAGGACAGUAGGGAAGUGAGGUGUGGCAUUUUAAUAUUUCAUGAAGCAGAUUAUAUUUUAUGUGUAAGGCAUGUGUCUCAAAGGAAAAAAAUCCAAAUAUACAACUCUAAAAAUGUUAUCAAUGUUUAAUGUGAAGAUUAAGUAACAAAUCAAUUAAAGAUUUUUUACUUAAACUA
rnacentral:lncRNA from 1 species